AGCUCCAAGAGCAUCUAUUAAAGUUGUUGCAGUUAAAAAGCUCGUAGUUGGACUUCUGGUACGCGUUUACCAUCCUUCUGGUUAACAAGCUUACCCUUAACUGGGCCGGGUUUGUGAUCCAGAUCUUUUACUUUGAAAAAAUUAGAGUGUUUAAAGCAGGCUAUUGCUAUGAAUACAUUAGCAUGGAAUAAUAAUCUAGGACUUCGGUUCUAUUU
rnacentral:rRNA from 1 species